rnacentral:rRNA from 1 species
UACGUAGGGUGCAAGCGUUGUCCGGAAUUAUUGGGCGUAAAGAGCUCGUAGGCGGUCUGUCGCGUCGGAUGUGAAAACCCAGGGCUCAACCCUGGGCCUGCAUUCGAUACGGGCAGACUAGAGCUCGGUAGGGGAGACUGGAAUUCCUGGUGUAGCGGUGAAAUGCGCAGAUAUCGGGAGGAACACCGGUGGCGAAGGCGGGUCUCUGGGCCGAAACUGACGCUGAGGAGCGAAAGCGUGGGGAGCAAACAGG